rnacentral:misc_RNA from 1 species
AGAGAACCCGGAGUUCCCU